CGCGGCUCCCGGCGCGGAUCGCGGCGAUCCCGGCGCGGUGCCGGUGCCGCUGGCGGUGCGGGGCUGGCGGGGCCACCAUGGCGUGGCCCUGCAUCACCCGCGCCUGCUGCAUCGCCCGCUUCUGGAACCAGCUGGACAAGGCGGACAUCGCCGUCCCGCUCGUCUUCACCAAGUACUCGGAGGCCACCGAGCAUCCCCCCGCGGCCCCGCCGCGCCCCGCGGCCCCCAUCGACACCCAGCCGGGCGGGGAGGCGGCGGCGGGCGGGGAGCCGGGUCCCGGUGCCGCCCGGCCCGGCCCGGCCCCGCACGCCUCGCCCCCGGCGGACUCGGUGAUGCGGCACGACUACAAGCCCUGGAAGGUGCAGCGGCCCGAGCCGAGCUGCAAGCCCAAGAGCGAGUACCAGCCCUCGGACACUCCCUUCGAGAAGGAGACGCAGUACCAGAAGGAUUUCCGUGCCUGGCCCAUCCCCAAGCGGGGCGACCACCCCUGGAUCCCCAAACCGGGCCCUUCCCCCGUGCUGGCCCUGGACCGCGCUUCCCCGGAGAAACCGGCGCAGGAGAAGCGGCGGAAGGUGCACAUCGCUCCCGAGAAGAAGGAGGAAGACCCCGAGGCGGAGGAUGAGCAUCCCAAAGCGGUGCGGGCCGGGGACGGGAGAGACAAGGGUCGGAAGAAGGCGGAGGAGGCGGGCGGGCAGCCGGCGGAGCCGGGCAGGGGCCGGGCGGCCGCCGAUGCUCUCAACAGGCAGAUCAAGGAGGAGGUGGCGGCGGGGGUCAGCUCGUCCUACAGGAACGAGUUCCGGCCCUGGAUCGACGUCAAGCCGGUGAAGGCGAUCCGGGCCAAGCCCCAGUACAAACCCCCGGAGGAGAAGAUGAUCCACGAGACCAGUUACAGCGCCCAGUUCAAGGGGGAGACCAGCAAGCCCUCUCCAGCUGACAACAAAUACCUGGAGCGCAGGAGGAUACGCACCCUCUACAGCGAGCCCUACAAAGAACCUCCCAAGGUGGAAAAGCCUAGCAUAAAGCCUUCCAAACCAAAAAAGACCACAACAAGCCAUAAACCCCUGAAAAAGGCCAAAGACAAGCAGAUUGCAUCUGGCCGGGCUGCCAAGAAAAAGAGCGCCGAGACCUCCAACACAGCAAAGCCAGAGGACAAGGAGAAAAGUAAAGAGAUGAACAAUAAACUGGCUGAGGCAAAAGACUGGGAAGUACUGUGAUGUUCAGACAUGGGCUUCAACUCUGCCUGGUUCCAGCAGUGCCAUGGGUGCCUUGGGAACAGCUCCCUAAUCCUGACGGUCCCGUGGAGAAGAUGUGAGGCAAGGAUGAAAGAAAAUCCUGCUAAUGGAUUGAAGGCAUCUUUCUGCUUCCUAAAAGGCCAGCCCUCCCUGCAGGCAGUCUGCUCCAGGGAAGCCAAGGACCAGCCACUGGGAAAAUGAUGGAUGAGGAGCAGUGACAGACCUCAGUGACGUGCCCCCUGAGAAAAACCCUGGUGCUACAGAGCAAGAGCCAAGUACCUUGGUGCAGGACCAACCCUCGUGAGGCCGGGAACUCCUCCGAGCAGCCUCUGGAGCACACGGAUAGUCUGCAUGGAAUGUGUAUGGCCUGGCAGCCUCCAAUAGAGCCCACGAGCAGAGCUCAGUGACACCUUCUCCUGUCUCUCAAGCACAUGGAGUUAUGUCACCAGGAGCUGUGUGAUGAAGUUUAGCAUGUCUGUGCCUUGAUGUAAGUACAGUAAAGUCAGAGAAAGAAAAA